CAUCGUGGUUGCAACUGACACUGGAUAAGAUUUAUCUCGUGGAGAAGAUUCUAAUUUUGGGGCGUACCGACCCUGGUAAGUAUUUACAAUUUGACAACAUAACAUUGUCACUGGGAAGACUGAAUCAAUCUCUUGUGGACGAAGCGUUCACUAUGAAAAACGGAACUGUUGCGCAGACUAUACUGGCUCCUCCACGCGAAUUAGAUGUUGUACGAGUUUCGGGUGGCAUGGCAACAAGUUCACAUAUGACAAUUUGCGAGAUUAUGAUGUACCAACAAGCAGCCUGCAAACCCGGCACAUUUGGUUCUAACUGCUCGAAUAUUUGUCAUUGUCUCGAUAAUGGCACCUGUAACAAGGUUGACGGUAGCUGUCUCAAUAACAAAUGCGCAGCUGGAUGGACCCA